rnacentral:lncRNA from 1 species
CAAAUCCAUUACAGUGAUUUUAGUUUUGGGAAACCUACAGUAAGUUGUAGAACACUGUUAAACAGGGUUUUUUUUCUACACCAUUCUUAAAUGUUUGUAAGAUCUGCUGAAUUUGAGUUACUAAAAGCAACAUAAACUUGACUUUGAGAGAUGCAAUAAGCAUUCUUGCUUUCUCCUUUUUUUUUUUUUAUUAUUUUAGAAUUACUAUGUGAAUUGUCACCAGUCUUGAAGAGAAAAGAAGAGACAACUGACUCAACAGAGAAAUCCAAACACCCCUCUGUGAAGUGUUUCUGGAGUUUAUCCCCUGCUGAAAGUCUCCUCCAAGGUCUCCUCCUUGCUACAGUUUUACAAUACAUUCAGAAACUGGCAUACUAGAUUUUGGAGAUAAAGAAAUGUUCAAAUGCAAUCAAUUCCUAGUCCUCUCUGAUUCCUGCACCAAAGUCUGCAAUGAGAAUUGAAUUAAACAUUGCCCUAACAGCUAGUGCUUACCUCAUUUAUGUGGAUACUCCUGAAUGUUUACUUUUCUCCCUACAAGGUGUUCUUUUGCAAUAGCAAGGUAUCUUUUUGUGUCAGUAGCAGAGGAACUGUGUAGAUAGAUCAAAGCUUGCAUUUGCUUAAUACUAGUCUCUGGUUUAAGUGUAAAGAGAAGAGGAUUGAAG